rnacentral:rRNA from 1 species
AACGUGAGCAACCUGGCUCUAAGAGGGGGACAACAGUUGGAAACGACUGCUAAUACCGCAUAACGUAUCGGGAUGGCAUCUUUCUGAUACCAAAGAUUUUAUCGCUUAGAGAUGGGCUCGCGUCUGAUUAGAUAGUUGGCGGGGUAACGGCCCACCAAGUCGACGAUCAGCAGCCGGACUGAGAGGUUGAACGGCCACAUUGGGACUGAGACACGGCCCAG